GAUAAACGCUGGCGGCGUGCAUAACACAUGCAAGUCGAACGCUUCAGGGAAACCUGAGGAGUGGCAGACGGGUGAGUAACACGUGGAUAAUCUACCCAGAAGUGGGGCAUACCACCGGGAAACCGGUGACAAUUCCGCAUAAGCUUCUUUGAUGCAAAUUAAAGAAGGAAAGCAGUAAUGCGCUUUUGGAUGAGUCCGCGCCCGAUUAGCUAGUUGGAGAGGUAAAAGCUCACCAAGGCGACGAUCGGUAGCUGAUCUGAGAGGAUGAUCAGCCACA
rnacentral:rRNA from 1 species